GGGUGAGUAACACAUGGAUAACCUACCUAUAAGACUGGGAUAACUUCGGGAAACCGGAGCUAAUACCGGAUAAUAUAUUGAACCGCAUAGGUUCAAUAGUGAAAGACGGUUUUGCUGUCACUUAUAGAUGGAUCCGCGCCGCAUUAGCUAGUUGGUAAGGUAACGGCUUACCAAGGCAACGAUGCGUAGCCGACCUGAGAGGGUGAUCGGCCACACUGGAACUGAGACACGGUCCAG
rnacentral:rRNA from 1 species